UACGGAGGGUGCAAGCGUUAUCCGGAUUCACUGGGUUUAAAGGGUGCGUAGGUGGGGUGGUAAGUCAGUGGUGAAAUCUCCGAGCUUAACUUGGAAACUGCCAUUGAUACUAUCAUUCUUGAAUAUUGUGGAGGUCAGCGGAAUAUGUCAUGUAGCGGUGAAAUGCUUAGAUAUGACACAGAACACCAAUUGCGAAGGCAGCUUGCUACACUGUCAUUGACACUGAGGCACGAAAGCGUGGGGAUCAAACAGG
rnacentral:rRNA from 1 species